AGGUGCUGCAUGGUUGUCGUCAGCUCGUGCCGUGAGGUGUCGGCUUAAGUGCCAUAACGAGCGCAACCCUUAUCUUCAGUUACUAACAGGUCAUGCUGAGGACUCUGGAGAGACUGCCGUCGUAAGAUGUGAGGAAGGUGGGGAUGACGUCAAAUCAGCACGGCCCUUACGUCCGGGGCUACACACGUGUUACAAUGGGGGGUACAGAAGGCAGCUAGCGGGUGACCGUAUGCUAAUCCCAAAAGCCUCUCUCAGUUCGGAUCGAAGUCUGCAACCCGACUUCGUGAAGCUGGAUUCGCUAGUAAUCGCGCAUCAGCCACGGCGCGGUGAAUACGUUCCCGGGCCUUGUACACACCGCCCGUCAAGCCAUGGGAGCCGGGGGUACCUGAAGUACGUAACCGCAAGGAUCGUCCUAGGGUAAAACUGGUGACUGGGGCUAAGUCGUAACAAGGUAGCCGUACCGGAAGGUGCGGCUGGAACACCUCCUUU
rnacentral:rRNA from 1 species